rnacentral:misc_RNA from 1 species
AAUGUCGUAACAAGGUUUCCGUAGGUCAAGUUUAGCCUGCCACAGCGGGUCAACCUCGCUAGUCUCCGCUGGAGGCGACACGCUCAACCUGUGGGAAGGCCCGUCCCGGGAAACUCCACAGCCCACUUCCCUCGCCCGGAAGUCGGUUUAGAGGCUCAACGAGCGUGGGUGCUGAUCUCAGCGCUUGAGAUAGAGUCCGUCCCCAGCUGGUAACCGCUGGGGGCCGAACGGAACCUGCGGAAGGAUCAUUACAGAAUUGACGGUUUGCGAAGCAGAUUCUCACCCCGGUGUAUACACUAUCUCUGUUGCUUUGCGGGCGCCUGGCGCCUGCCAGAGGGAAAACCCUUGAAUCUCCUGCGCUGGCCGAUAAAAUAGCAAA